rnacentral:rRNA from 1 species
AGGAAUAUUGGUCAAUGGACGAGAGUCUGAACCAGCCAAGUAGCGUGAAGGAUGACUGCCCUAUGGGUUGUAAACUUCUUUUAUAUGGGAAUAAAACAGGGUAUGCAUACCCUCUUGUAUGUACCAUAUGAAUAAGGAUCGGCUAACUCCGUGCCAGCAGCCGCGGUAAUACGGAGGAUCCGAGCGUUAUCCGGAUUCAUUGGGUUUAAAGGGUGCGCAGGCGGGCCUUUAAGCCGGCGGUGAAAUCGCGGGGCUCAACCCCGCCGAGCCGUCGGAACUGGGGGCCUUGAGUGCGGCGGAGGCAUGCGGAAUGCGCGGUGUAGCGGUGAAAUGCAUAGAUAUCGCGCAGAACCCCGAUUGCGAAGGCAGCGUGCCGUUCCGCCACUGACGCUGAGGCACGAAAGCGCGGGGAUCGAACAGA